UUAGCUUUUUCUUUCCGCUGGCUUCUCUCUUUCUCCAUUCUCACCUUCUGCUUAUUUUCGAACCUAGUUUUUUUUCUCUUCCACGCCAGUGUUGUUCCAGAAACGCUCAUGUCCCAAUUUUGGGGCUCUCAAUGCAACUUUGCAAGCCCUUUGUGUUCAAGGAAACGGUGAUCUUUGUUUUUUGAAAAUUUUGUAUAUGCGUUUGCAAACCAUUUGUGCUUCAGCAGGAGUCGCUCACCAAGGCAUUGCAGGGCACGAGGGUACAAUUCGGACUCAGGAUAUGCAGAUUGAUUUGGACCUAGGGAUAACAACAUUACCACUGGCAAGAUAUAUCAGGUGCUUCUAACUCGAUUUUGACGUCCUUUGCGGUGUGUAUCAUUUCCUACUUCGAACUUGAUCUUACUUAUAGUUUUUAGUUUUUGAAAAAGAUGUAAAUGUAAUAACUGAGGUUUGUAAUACGGAGGGAGACACCGUCAGUUGGUGGAAUCAUUAACCCUGGUUCUGAGGGAUUUCAGAAGCUAUUUUUCGGUCAAAAGGAAAUCGCCAUACCAAUGCACUUAAAAUCAGAUUACCAUUCUUGAUCUGUUGUUUCGAGAUUGUCUGACCUUUGGGUUGAUAACUAUUGCAACAUUGAAGCAUCACGCACUGCACAGCCUACUGCUGAUGUCUUAAUCAACUUUGCUUCGUACAGAAGUGCUGCCGCUUCUUCCAUGGCUGCUCUCAAGCAACCAACCAUUAGAGUUGUGGCGGUCAUUGCUGAAGGUGUACCUGAGUCAGACACUAAGCAAUUGAUCGCAUAUGCAUGGGCAAACAACAAGGUUGUCAUUGGCCCAGCUACUGUUGGAGGAAUUCAAGCUGGAGUUUUUAAGAUUGGUGACACUGCUGGAACAUUGAUAACAUUAUUCACCGCAAGCUAUACUGGCCUGGAUUUGUUGGUUUUGUCUCCAAAUCUGUAUGUAGCUAUCCAAUAUCUUGAACUUCAGAUAAUUUGGUUAUUCAUAAGACUGUCAUGACGUAUAUACCUUUAACGGUUAGCGUAUUGGAAUUGAGUUCAUUCAUUUCUGUCCUCUGCCCUUACGUUGGCAAGACUGUCCAGGUGAUGGUACAAAAUCACAAUGUUCAUGUGUCCUACCUUUUCUUUUUUGCUUCACUUGCUUGAACGCUGAUGAUUGCCUUUCUUCAGUGAUUUGAGUCGAUUUAGGUGGUUCAACACAUAACUGAUGUAAUUAAGACAUGGGUUGAAUCUGUUUCAGUCAUUUCCAUCGAUGGAAAAGAAGGCCUUGCAAAUGUUUAUGCAGAUCAUUGGGAGCUUAAUUUAUUAGUAUUUAUGUAGAAAUAGAAAUAAUUAUAAAUGAAACCUUCUUAUCAGGCA